AAUUACCAUUAGCAGUUGAAGUGGUAGGAAAUUUUUACAUAGGAGAGUAUGGUGAUCAUAUUUGCAUUUUAGAAAAUAAUGGAUAGCAGUUUGUUAGGGGAACAAAGGACAGAGACAGGGAGACUAUUUAAAACGUUAACAAAAAAUACCAGUGACAGAUGAUGAGGCAUCUACCUGAUGGGAACGGAGAAGGAGAUGGAUUCAGAAACUACUUAGGAGGUACAGUCAUCAAGAUAUAGAUGACUAAUUGCAUGUAGGGGGUAAAAAAGUAGGAAGAAGAGAGGAUGAUGACUCCUGCGUUUCUGGCUUGGGAAAGUGGUUAGAUUGUGGGCUGGAUGUGUGCGUGAUUGUGUGUGUGUAGCUGAAAAGGCAAUUUAGCUUUGUAACUGUUGAAGUGAAUAUGGACCAUAGACAUAGAUAUCCACUAGGUUGCUGAACAUGUAGUCUGCAAAUCAGGAGAAAAUUUUAGGUGAAGAUGGUAAUUUAGAAUCAUCAGAGUCUAUAUGAGGCAGGCAGUCCAAGGCUGAUGCCCAAAGAAGCCAUCAAGACCCGUUCUACUUCCAGCUCCUUCUGUCCUCAUAAUCAUAGAUGAUUGCUCCACAUCCAGAGUCUCGCUCAGUUUCCAGGUUGGAGUGUACUGGCGUGAUCAUGGCUCAUUGCAACCUCUGCCUCCCAGCUUCAAGUGAUUCCCCUGCUUCAGCCUCCCAAGUAGCUGGGACUACAGGCAUGUACCACCAUGCCUGGCUAAUUUUUUUUUUUAUUUUAGUAGAGACGGGGUUUAACCAUGUUGGCCAGGAUGGUCUUGAUCUCCUGACCUUGUGAUCCGCCCACCUCAGCCUCCCAAAGUGCUGGGAUUACAGGUGUGAGCCACCUUGCCUGGCCUUCUAUUCCUUUUUCUAAUGCAUUUGCCCCAGCUAUCUGUAUAGUCUGCAAUCUGGUAGACGGACCACAGGCAAACCACUGUGGCAAACUAAAAGUGUCUAUCUCAGAUCCUUCCACCACCAUCAUUUCCAAAAUCGCCCUCACUAUCUCCACCACCAUCACCUUUACCACCAUCACCACUAUCACCCUCAUCCUUCCCAUCACCAUCUCCACUGCUAUCUCUCAGCACCAUCAUCAUCACCACUACCACCAUCAUCACCAUGAGCACCACCUCUGUCAUCAUCAAAAAAGCACACAGCUCAGGCUGGCCUGUUGGAGGAUAACAGAUCACGUGGAGCAGAGAUGAGCCGGCCCACCUCAGGCCCUACCAGAGCAAUCAGCUUGCCAAACACGACAUACAUCAGCGAGGCCAGCCUAGACCAUCCAGCCCUAGCUGAGCCAGCCCAGACCAGAGACUCAUGAAAACAGUAAAAUGUUCAGCAUUUUAAGGCACUAGAUUUUGUGGUAGUUUAUUAUACACCAAAAGCUAACUGAUACAGGGACCA